CCUACUUUGCAGGCUGAGGUAUGAGAAUCGCUUGAACCCGGGAGGUGGAGGUUGCAGUGAGCCCAGAUGGUGCCUGGGCAACAAAAGCGAAACUGUCUCAGAAAAAAAAAAUAAUAAAGUAUUCCUCCCUUUUCCAACUACACAUCUCUGUGAGGCCACAUUUUCUUCACAUACCUCAACCCAAACAAAAGAUUAUCUGCAGAAGCAAACAGGAGAAUCCAGCCAUGUUCUAUUAAAGAGAUUGGUAAAAUGUAAAAUAAUGUCACUCAUAAUUUUGUUUUGCAAAAUAUGAUUAUUUUCCAUUAAAAAAAUGUUAAAGUAUCUUUCCAUUCCUAGGAAAUACAUAUUGAAGUACUUAAAAUGAAAUAUGCCUGCAGUUUACUUUCAAAUAUUCAUCCAAAAAAUUGUAUAGAUGUAUACACAUGUAUGUAUGUGUGUAAACAUGUAUGCCUAAGUGGCAUCAGAGAUACUUGGUCUUUGUCCCUGGUUCCUGGCACAGAGCUCCUAAAACCUAAUUUCUUGAGUUAAAAGUGAUAGUAGGAUCUUUUGUUCAAAUGAGGGACUCUUGGCAGGGCCCCUAGACAGCUUCAGGAUGGGGACUGGUUGCUAGAAAGAUGAAACUUUGAUUAGAAGCUUAGAAUUUUCAGCUCCACCUCCCAACCUCUGGGGAUGGGUGAGGAAGUGAGGACUGUUAAUCACCAAUGGCUAAAAAUUUAAUCAAUCACGUGUAAUGGAAUCUCUAUAAAAACACCCUAAAUGAUGGGGCUCAGAGACUUAAGUUGGUGACAUAGUAAGGUGCUGGGAGAGUGGUGCUCCCAGAGAAGGCACAGAGCUCCAUCUCCCUUCCCCAUACCUUGCCCUGGGCAUCUCUCCCAUUUGGCUGUUCCUGAGUUUUAUCCUUUAUAAUAAACCUGUAAUUGUGAAUAAAGUGCUUUCCUGAGUUGUGUGAAUGGUUCCAGUCAAUUAUCAAAUGUGAGAAGGGGAUUGUGGAAACCCUCUGAAUUUACUGGUCACAAGUACCAGUGACAACCAUGGACUUACGGCUGGCAUCUGAAGUGGGGGCCUUCUUGUGGGACUGAGCCCUUAACUUGUGGGAUCUGACACACUAACUCCACGUAGAUGGUAUCAGAAUUAAAUUGUAGGACACCCAAAUGGAGUAAGAGAAGUGGUGAUGGAAAAAACACACACACUUGGCUCAGAAGUAAAAAUAGCUCAGCAUAUGCGUACGUUAACUUUCUACAAUUUACUUCCAAACAGUUCAGCAAAAAGAGACAGAAGGUUGCAAAAUAAUAGGUGAAGGAUAUGAGUGUUCCUUAUACUAUUGAUUCAACUUUUCUCUGGGUUUGAAAUUUUUCAGAAUAAAAUACGUUGGGGGCCAGACACAGUGGUAUACACCUGCAGUGUACAGAUGCUAGGAAGGCUAAGGCAGGAGGAUCACCUGGGCCCACAAGUGCAAGGCCAUGGUGCGCUAGGAUCACACCUGUAAACAGCCACU
rnacentral:lncRNA from 1 species